CACAAUUUGGCUUCAACAAACGACUACCAUCAUUGCUCCCUAAGAUCACCGCAACAUGCAGCUUGAGUCACCAAGCAAGGAAAGGGUAAGAAAGAUAUGCUUGGCCACAGGGCAAUAUUUAGAAGGAAAAAGAGAGAGAGAUUGGCUCUUACCAAGCAUAUCAUUCUUAUUCUAACCCUGUGUCCAUAACUGUCUUCAGGACAAGUCUCCUAUUGCAUUCUUGUUCUUUCUUUCUCUGGUGUGAGCCUAUGUAUUUGCUGUCUUGGAAGUGAUCAGGUCCCAGCCCAAACUGACAGCUCAUAUCAAUCAGAGGGAAUUGGUGUGAAACAGAGGUCUCCCAAACCAUGUCCACCACAACCACAGCCAUGCUCUCCACUCGAAAAGUGGGAUGAAGCUGACACAUUCCACACAAACGAAAAUAUUGAGGAUCCAUUCUGGAACUUUCACAAAUGUCAGAUGAUGAUGAAGAUGAUGAUGACGACAUAGCAGUAGAAGAAAAAGCAGGUUUUUGGCUUCCCCUCAGGCUGCUCCACGAGCUAGAGGGAGCCCCAGCUGACGAAGCGUCAAGGCCCCAGCUGACAAAGCGUCAAGGCCCCAGCUGACAAAGCGUCAAGGCCCCAGCUGACAAAGCGUCAAGGCCCCAGCUGACAAAGCGUCAAGGCCCCAGCUGACAAAGCGUC